GAUGAACGCUAGCGGCAGGCUUAAUACAUGCAAGUCGUGGGGCAGCAUGAGUAGCAAUACUUGAUGGCGACCGGCAAACGGGUGAGGAACACGUACACAACCUUCCUUCAAGCGGGGAAUAGCCCAGAGAAAUUUGGAUUAAUACCCCAUAAUAUAUUUGAUAAGGCAUCUUAUUAAUAUUAAAGCUUCGGCACUUGAUGAUGGUUGUGCGGCUGAUUAGAUAGUUGGCGGGGUAACGGCCCACCAAGUCUACGAUCAGUAGCUGAUGUGAGAGCAUGAUCAGCCACACGGGCACUGAGACACGGGCCCGACUCCUACGGGAGGCAGCAGUAAGGAAUAUUGGACAAUGGACGAAAGUCUGAUCCAGCCAUGCCGCGUGAAGGAUUAAGGUCCUCUGGAUUGUAAACUUCUUUUAUAUGGGACGAAAAAGGGCAUUCUUGUUCACUUGACGGUACCAUAUGAAUAAGCACCGGCUAACUCCGUGCC
rnacentral:rRNA from 1 species